rnacentral:rRNA from 1 species
GACGAACGCUGGCGGCGUGCCUAAUACAUGCAAGUCGAACGCUUCUUUCCUCCCGAGUGCUUGCACUCAAUUGGAAGGAGGAGUGGCGGACGGGUGAGUAACACGUGGGUAACCUACCCAUCAGAGGGGGAUAACACUUGGAAACAGGUGCUAAUACCGCAUAACAGUUUAUGCCGCAUGGCAUAAGAGUGAAAGGCGCUUUCGGGCGUCGUUGAUGGAUGGACCCGCGGUGCAUUAGCUAGUUGGUGAGGUAACGGCUCACCAAGGCCACGAUGCAUAGCCGACCUGAGAGGGUGAUCGGCCACACUGGGACUGAGACACGGCCCAGACUCCUACGGGAGGCAGCAGUAGGGAAUCUUCGGCAAUGGACGAAAGUCUGACCGAGCAACGCCGCGUGAGUGAAGAAGGUUUUCGGAUCGUAAAACUCUGUUGUUAGCGAAGAACAAGGACGUUAGUAACUGAACGUCCCCUGACGGUAUCUAACCAGAAAGCCACGGCUAACUACGUG